UACGGAGGGGGCUAGCGUUGUUCGGAAUUACUGGGCGUAAAGCGCGCGUAGGCGGCUUUGUAAGUUAGAGGUGAAAGCCCGGAGCUCAACUCCGGAAUUGCCUUUAAGACUGCAUCGCUAGAAUCAUGGAGAGGUUAGUGGAAUUCCGAGUGUAGAGGUGAAAUUCGUAGAUAUUUGGAAGAACACCAGUGGCGAAGGCGACUAACUGGACAUGUAUUGACGCUGAGGUGCGAAAGCGUGGGGAGCAAACAGG
rnacentral:rRNA from 1 species